rnacentral:rRNA from 1 species
AUUGAACGCUGGCGGCAUGCUUUACACAUGCAAGUCGAACGGUAACAGGCCGCAAGGUGCUGACGAGUGGCGAACGGGUGAGUAAUGCAUCGGAACGUGCCCAGUCGUGGGGGAUAACUACUCGCAAGAGUAGCUAAUACCGCAUACGAUCUAUGGAUGAAAGCGGGGGACCGUAAGGUCUCGCGCGAUUGGAGCGGCCGAUGUCAGAUUAGGUAGUUGGUGGGGUAAAGGCUCACCAAGCCAACGAUCUGUAGCUGGUCUGAGAGGACGACCAGCCACACUGGGACUGAGACACGGCCCAGACUCCUACGGGAGGCAGCAGUGGGGAAUUUUGGACAAUGGGCGCAAGCCUGAUCCAGCAAUGCCGCGUGCAGGAAGAAGGCCUUCGGGUUGUAAACUGCUUUUGUACGGAACGAAACGGCUCUGGUUAAUACCCGGGGCUAAUGACGGUACCGUAAGAAUAAGCACCGGCUAACUACGUG